rnacentral:rRNA from 1 species
CCUACGGGGGGCAGCAGUGAGGAAUAUUGGUCAAUGGGCAAGAGACUGAACCAGCCAAGUCGCGUGAGGGAGUACUGCCCUAUGGGUUGUAAACCUCUUUUGUAGGGGAGCAAAAGCCGGACGUGUCCGGCUGUGAGAGUACCCGAAGAAAAAGCAUCGGCUAACUCCGUGCCAGCAGCCGCGGUAAUACGGAGGAUGCGAGCGUUAUCCGGAUUUAUUGGGUUUAAGGGGUGCGCAGGCGGAUUUUUAAGUCAGCGGUCAAAUCGUGGGGCUCAACCCCAUCCAGCCGUUGAAACUGGGGAUCUUGAGUGGGCGAGAAGUAUGCGGAAUGCGUGGUGUAGCGGUGAAAUGCAUAGAUAUCACGCAGAACUCCGAUUGCGAAGGCAGCAUACCGGCGCCCGACUGACGCUGAGGCACGAAAGCGUGGGGAUCGAACAGGAUUAGAUACCCUUGUAGUC